rnacentral:misc_RNA from 1 species
AAAAUAAUUAUACUAACUAAUAAUAAACCACAAAAUUAUAAAUAUCCCGAAAUUUAUGUUGUCAGUUUUUAUUUACAUAUAUUUAAAGAACUUUGAAAACAAAAUAAAGUGCAAAAAGUGAACCCUCAUUAAUUGUAGGGGAAAUGUCUAAAAAAGUUUCAAACUUUGCAUUAUUUUACCCUUGUACCCCAAACUUUUUUUUUUAAUAAUUUUACCCUGAAAUUUAGACCUUAGUUCAAUUGAAUCCACCGCUAAUUGGUCCAUUAACACCUAAUAGAAAUGCAAUGUCAAUACUUCGAAUCCCUCAAAUUAAACCUAAAUUAUAGCAUCCAUGCUUCCAUCUCCAAUGAACAAAGGUAGAAGAAACAUCGUUCCUUCUGUUGGAAAAUAACAAGGGAUGAAAAUAUAAGGACUUCCUCAUCCAAAAUGUAGGUCACAAAAUGCCCACAGCACUUGGAAAUGCCCACAAUACCAAGUUCCCAAAGUACUCAGUACUUUAGACUCAUUCACAUCCGUCCAUUCAUUGAGAUUUCCGCGUGUUGUUUAAUCGGGUUAAUAGGUUUACCUGUUUUAUUUUAAUCCAUUCAGGCAUUUAAAUAUGUUAUUAUCCCUUUUAUUUAUAAUUAAAAAUAUAAUUUUACUUUCAAUAUCUUAUAAUUUAUUUUUUUUUGUUUUUUUGACAAAACACUUGGUUAUUAAAAGAAAAUCUAAAUUCUUAAUGAAU